AUACGUAGGGAGCGAGCGUUGUCCGGAAUUACUGGGUGUAAAGGGAGCGUAGGCGGGACUGCAAGUCAGAUGUGAAAUACCGGGUCUUAACCCCGGAGCUGCAUUUGAAACUGUGGUUCUUGAGUGAAGUAGAGGCAAGCGGAAUUCCUGGUGUAGCGGUGAAAUGCGUAGAUAUCAGGAGGAACACCGGUGGCGAAGGCGGCUUGCUGGGCUUUUACUGACGCUGAGGCUCGAAAGCGUGGGUAGCAAACAGGAUUAGAUACCCUGGUAGUCCACGCUGUAAACGAUGAUUACUAGGUGUGGGGGGACUGACCCCUUCCGUGCCGCAGUUAACACAAUAAGUAAUCCACCUGGGGAGUACGGCCGCAAGGUUGAAACUCAAAUGAAUUGACGGGG
rnacentral:rRNA from 1 species